GAAAAUAAUGAUCAUUCUAGUAUAUUUGAUAUAUUUAAAUUCGUGUUUGUAAUAAAAAAAGAUCGAAUGAAUAGCUAACGAAUUUUUAUAAAUAAAACUUGUGAAAACAAUGAAAGUUGGUUUAAAAAUCAAAUGUAUCAACGUGUUAGAUUUUUUACGCCACUGAUCAAUACUUAAUUCUAAUUCUCAACCAGUGAUAACUAUGUAAAUUUUUUGCCAUUGCGACAAUCGAUAAUUUCACUUUUAUUUAUUAUUCUCUUCUAAGAUAUGAUAAACCUAUGGUUACCACAAGACGAACAUAUUUCUAAUCCGAAUUCAUAUGGCAAACAUGCAUUGACAUUUAAGAUUAUCACAUAUGAUCAUACACGUCACAAAUAUUAUUCCUAAUAUUUAUUGUCCGUGUGUCCCAAUAAUAGUACUAUACCUAUCAUGAGUUUUUCAACACUACGAAUAAACAAUUUAUUGUCCUAAUGGUGCGCAAAUAUGUAAAGAUUUAGCCUAGCAUCAUGUUAAAUUAAACAGAUAAAAGUGAAAGGAAAUCACCGAAAAUCGACGGGAAGUGAUUCAAUUUUCAAGCUCCUUGCACAAUUAUUGAAGAAAGUUGCACAAAAAACUCAGCCGGCAGCCUUUCUUGGAAUCCAAUGUGAAAUCUCUUAUUUCCAACCAGCUUUUCUAUGGUUUUUCUUCCUCUCGGUUCCGUGUGUAUCAAUGUGUAUUAAUCCCCCAAUUGGCUGCCUUUUUGUCUAUAGAUUAGUCUCCAAUUCCUUUAAAUUUUCUGCCGCAAUUGCUGUAUAUAUAUAUAUAUAAAUCAGCCAAAUCAGCCUUUUUCUUUGCCUUCUUUCCCAGCAGCUCUGCCCAAUUUCAGCAGCUUGUAUUUAUAUAUGUUGAUCCCCCAAGCGCCUCUUCUUGUAUGUAUUUAUCUCUAAUUAAUUUCCCCAGUUGCGGCCCUUUUUUUUUUUUUUUUUUUUUAAACUCCAAAAACGACCAAUUUUCUCUAGAUUAUUCUCCCGUUUUGCUUCCUUUAAUUUGGCUGCCACUGUGAUUGAAUUCCAAAGCAAAGCCCCAAGAAUUCAUCCCUUCCUUUCUUCCAACAGCCUGCAGUGCCUGACUUUCAAAGCCAACUUUUAUUUUCCUCCAAGCAGCUGCCUUUUUAAUUCCCCAGCAACUCCGUUAGCGGCCUCUCAAUGUGUAUAUAUAUAAUAUAGUUUGGUAGCCCUACUGUUACUCAAUUUCUUUCUACCAGCAGCCGUCCAAAUUCUCCUCUUUUCUCCCCCCUAGCAGCCGUUUUUGUUGACUCCCCAAAGAAGACUAAAUUCUCUUUUAGGUUUUUCUCCCGUUUUCCUUUUUCU
rnacentral:lncRNA from 1 species